rnacentral:rRNA from 1 species
GUUGUAUAGUCAAGUAAUUAAGUGCAUGUGGUGGAUGCUUGGCAGUCAGAGGCGAUGAAAGACGUGAUAGCCUGCGAAAAGCUCCGGGGAGGCGGCAAAUAUCCUUUGAUCCGGAGAUGUCUGAAUGGGGGAACCACCUACUUUAAGGUAGGUAUUGCAACAUGAAUACAUAGUGUUGCAAGGCGAACGAGGGGAAGUGAAACAUCUCAGUACCCUUAGGAAAAGAAAUCAAUUGAGAUUCCCUCAGUAGCGGCGAGCGAACGGGGAUCAGCCCAUUAAGUUAUGUGUGUUUUAGUGGAACGCUCUGGGAAGUGCGAACGUAGAGGGUGAUAUUCCCGUACACGAAAGGGCACACAUAAUGAUGACGAGUAGGGCGAGGCACGUGAAACCUUGUCUGAAUAUGGGGGGGACCAUCCUCCAAGGCUAAAUACUCCUGACUGACCGAUAGUGAACCAGUACCGUGAGGGAAAGGCGAAAAGAACCCCUGUGAGGGGAGUGAAAUAGAUCCUGAAACCGCAUGCAUACAAGCAGUGGGAGCACCUUCGUGGUGUGACUGCGUACCUUUUGUAUAAUGGGUCAGCGACUUAUAUUCAGUAGCGAGGUUAACCGUAUAGGGGAGCCGUAGAGAAAUCGAGUCUUAAUAGGGCGUUUAGUUGCUGGGUAUAGACCCGAAACCAGGCGAUCUAUCCAUGAGCAGGUUGAAGGUUGGGUAACACUAACUGGAGGACCGAACCCACUGUCGUUGAAAAGCCAGGGGAUGACUUGUGGAUAGGGGUGAAAGGCUAAUCAAGCCUGGUGAUAGCUGGUUCUCCCCGAAAGCUAUUUAGGUAGCGCCUCGGACGAAUACCAUAGGGGGUAGAGCACUGUUUCGGCUAGGGGGUCAUCCCGACUUACCAAACCGAUGCAAACUCCGAAUACCUAUGAGUACUAUCCGGGAGACAGACUGCGGGUGCUAACGUCCGUAGUCAAGAGGAAAACAAUCCAGACCGCCAGCUAAGGCCCCAAAAUCAUAGUUAAGUGGGAAACGAUGUGGGAAGGCAUAGACAGCUAGGAGGUUGGCUUAGAAGCAGCCACCCUUUAAAGAAAGCGUAAUAGCUCACUAGUCGAGUCGGCCUGCGCGGAAGAUGUAACGGGGCUAAAACUAUGUGCCGAAGCUGCGGAUGUAUACUUUGUAUACGUGGUAGGGGAGCGUUCUGUAAGCCGAUGAAGGUGUGUUGAGAAGCAUGCUGGAGGUAUCAGAAGUGCGAAUGCUGACGUGAGUAACGACAAAACGGGUGAAAAACCCGUUCGCCGAAAGACCAAGGGUUCCAGUCCAACGUUAAUCGGGGCUGGGUGAGUCGACCCCUAAGGCGAGGCCGAAAGGCGUAGUCGAUGGGAAAAUGGUUAAUAUUCCAUUACUUCUGUGUAAUGCGAUGAGAGGACGGAGAAGGCUAAAUCAGCCUGGCGUUGGUUGUCCAGGUGAAAGGAUGUAGGCAUGUAUCUUAGGCAAAUCCGGGGUACUCUAUGCUGAGAUCUGAUAGCAAGCUGUACUUGUACAGCGAAGUGGUUGAUGCCAUGCUUCCAGGAAAAGUCUCUAAGCUUCAGUUACACAGGAAUCGUACCCGAAACCGACACAGGUGGUCAGGUCGAGUAGACCAAGGCGCUUGAGAGAACUCUGCUGAAGGAACUAGGCAAAAUGGUACCGUAACUUCGGGAGAAGGUACGCUGUUGUUGGUGAUGGAACUCGCUUCCUGAGCUGACGACAGCCGCAGAAACCAGGCCGCUGCAACUGUUUAUUAAAAACAUAGCACUCUGCAAACACGAAAGUGGACGUAUAGGGUGUGAUGCCUGCCCGGUGCUGGAAGGUUAAUUGAUGGGGUUAGCGUAAGCGAAGCUCUUGAUCGAAGCCCCAGUAAACGGCGGCCGUAACUAUAACGGUCCUAAGGUAGCGAAAUUCCUUGUCGGGUAAGUUCCGACCUGCACGAAUGGCAUAAUGAUGGCGGCGCUGUCUCCAGCAGAGGCUCAGUGAAAUCGAAAUCGCUGUGAAGAUGCAGUGUACCCGCGGCUAGACGGAAAGACCCCGUGAACCUUUACUGCAGCUUGACACUGAACUUUGACCUUACUUGUGUAGGAUAGGUGGGAGGCUUUGAAGCUGGAACGCUAGUUCCAGUGGAGCCGUCCUUGAAAUACCACCCUGGUAAUGUUGAGGUUCUAACUCUGUCCCGUGAUCCGGGACGAGGACCGUGUCUGGUGGGUAGUUUGACUGGGGCGGUCUCCUCCUAAAGAGUAACGGAGGAGUACGAAGGUGCGCUCAGCGUGGUCGGAAAUCACGCGUAGAGUAUAAAGGCAAAAGCGCGCUUAACUGCGAGACCCACAAGUCGAGCAGGUACGAAAGUAGGUCUUAGUGAUCCGGUGGUUCUGUAUGGAAGGGCCAUCGCUCAACGGAUAAAAGGUACUCUGGGGAUAACAGGCUGAUACCGCCCAAGAGUUCAUAUCGACGGCGGUGUUUGGCACCUCGAUGUCGGCUCAUCUCAUCCUGGGGCUGAAGCAGGUCCCAAGGGUAUGGCUGUUCGCCAUUUAAAGAGGUACGCGAGCUGGGUUUAGAACGUCGUGAGACAGUUCGGUCCCUAUCUACCGUGGGCGCUGGAAAUUUGAGAGGAUCUGCUCCUAGUACGAGAGGACCAGAGUGGACGAACCUCUGGUGUACCGGUUGUGACGCCAGUCGCAUCGCCGGGUAGCUAUGUUCGGAAGGGAUAACCGCUGAAAGCAUCUAAGCGGGAAGCCUACCUCAAGAUAAGAUUUCCCUAGGACUUUAUGUCCUCUAAAGAGCCGUUCGAGACUAGGACGUUGAUAGGUUGGAUGUGGAAGCAUAGUGAUAUGUGAAGCUGACCAAUACUAAUUGCUCGUGAGGCUUGACUAUACAACACCCAAGCAGUUG